rnacentral:rRNA from 1 species
GGAAUUUUCCGCAAUGGGCGAAAGCCUGACGGAGCAACGCCGCGUGAGGGAUGAAGGCCUCUGGGCUGUAAACCUCUUUUUUCAAGGAAGAAGAUCUGACGGUACUUGAAGAAUAAGCCACGGCUAAUUCCGUGCCAGCAGCCGCGGUAAUACGGGAGUGGCAAGCGUUAUCCGGAAUUAUUGGGCGUAAAGCGUCCGCAGGCGGCCUAGUAAGUCUGCUGUUAAAGACUAGGGCUCAACCCUAGAAAAGCAGUGGAAACUGCUAGACUUGAGUGUGGUAGAGGUAGAGGGAAUUCCUAGUGUAGCGGUGAAAUGCGUAGAUAUUAGGAAGAACACCAAUGGCGAAAGCACUUUACUGGGCCAUAACUGACACUGAGAGACGACAGCUAGGGGAGCAAAUGGGAUUAGAUACCCCAGUAGUC